rnacentral:rRNA from 1 species
GUGCCAGCCGCCGCGGUAAAACGUAGGUGGCGAGCGUUAUCCGGAUUCAUUGGGCGUAAAGAGCUUGUAGGUGGCGGCGUAAGUUGGACGUGAAAUCGCCCGGCUCAACCGGGCGGGGUCGUUCAAUACUGCGCGGCUAGAGGAGGUCAGAGGGAAGUGGAAUUCCUGGUGUAGCAGUGAAAUGCGUAGAUAUCAGGAGGAACACCCGUGGCGAAGGCGGCUUCCUGGGGCCAUCCUGACACUGAGAAGCGAAAGCUAGGGGAGCGAACGGGAUUAGAAACCCCUGUAGUCC